UUUAUAUUCAAUAUUCGAAUAUCAUUCAAAAUAACAUAAAACUUCACUCCACGUGAAAAAAAAAUCUAACAUCAAUAAAUUUUCGGCAAAAGUGUGAAUUCGUUUGGCUCGAAGGACCACAUUUGAAAUAUUUUUACUAUGUUGAAACUUUUAUUGUUGAUUGUUCUUAUUCAACCAUUUGUUGUAAUGACUGAUUAUGAGUGUAAUACGGAAGGCGGAUAUUGUUAUGUCGGUGGAAUAUAUUUUUACGAAAAAUGUUGUGAUGAUUAUUAUUGUCAACCCGAUGGUGAUAGAACUAGAAUGGGGAAGUGUAGACUUAAAAGUUUAAUUGGUAUAUAUCUCGGAUAAUUCAUCUUUUAUACAUAAAAUCGGCAAAUCAUCUAGAGUUCAAAGAUACCCCAUUAAAAUGUAAGAAAAAUGUCUGACUAUACUUUCAGGAUGUAAAGUGCUCUUAUCAGAUCAAUACUGCUCAGAUUGACUGGAUCAAAAUUGUAUAAAUAUUAUGUGAAAGAAAUUAUGGUACAAAUUGAGGAAAUUUGUGAGGGAAAAAUUUUCUAUAUAAUUUUCGAAUUGUAAAACUGCCGAAUAUCUUGAAUAAAAUAUUAUAAUUGUUUUA